AGUGGCGGACGGGUGAGUAAUGCUUGGGAAUCUGGCUUAUGGAGGGGGAUAACUGUGGGAAACUGCAGCUAAUACCGCGUAUUCUCUGAGGAGGAAAGGGUGGGACCUUAGGGCCACCUGCCAUAAGAUGAGCCCAAGUGGGAUUAGGUAGUUGGUGGGGUAAAGGCCUACCAAGCCUGCGAUCUCUAGCUGGUCUGAGAGGAUGACCAGCCACACUGGAACUGAGACACGGUCCAGACUCCUACGGGAGGCAGCAGUGGGGAAUAUUGCGCAAUGGGGGGAACCCUGACGCAGCCAUGCCGCGUGAAUGAAGAAGGCCUUCGGGUUGUAAAGUUCUUUCGGUAAUGAGGAAGGGAUGUUGUUAAAUAGAUAGCAUCAUUGACGUUAAUUACAGAAGAAGCACCGGCUAACUCCGUGCCAGCAGCCGCGGUAAUACGGAGGGUGCGAGCGUUAAUCGGAAUAACUGGGCGUAAAGGGCACGCAGGCGGACUUUUAAGUGAGAUGUGAAAUCCCCGAGCUUAACUUGGGAACUGCAUUUCAGACUGGGAGUCUAGAGUACUUUAGGGAGGGGUAGAAUUCCACGUGUGGCGGUGAAAUGCGUAGAGAUGUGGAGGAAUACCGA
rnacentral:rRNA from 1 species